rnacentral:rRNA from 1 species
UACAGAGGAUGCAAGCGUUAUCCGGAAUGAUUGGGCGUAAAGCGUCUGUAGGUGGCUUUUUAAGUCCGCCGUCAAAUCCCAGGGCUCAACUCUGGACAGGCGGUGGAAACUACCAAGCUGGAGUACGGUAGGGGCAGAGGGAAUUUCCGGUGGAGCGGUGAAAUGCGUAGAUAUCGGGAAGAACACCCGUGGCGAAGGCGGCUCUCUGGGACGGUACUGACGCUGAGACGCGAAAGCGUGGGGAGCGAACAGG